UGCUGAAGGUUCUAGAUUCCUCUGGUGU
rnacentral:piRNA from 1 species